GCAUUGGUGAUUCAGUGGUAGAAUUCUUGCCUGCCACGCAGGAGGCCUGGGUUCAUUUCCUGGCCAAUGCA